CUACGUGCCAGCAGCCGCGGUAAUACGGAGGAUGCGAGCGUUAUCCGGAUUUAUUGGGUUUAAAGGGUGCGUAGGCGGCCUGUUAAGUCAGCGGUGAAAUCUAGGAGCUUAACUCCUAAAUUGCCAUUGAUACUGGCGGGCUUGAGUGUAGAUGAGGUAGGCGGAAUGCGUGGUGUAGCGGUGGAAUGCAUAGAUAUCACGCAGAACUCCGAUUGCGAAGGCAGCUUACUAAGGUACAACUGACGCUGAAGCACGAAAGCGUGGGUAUCAAACAGGAUUAGAUACCCUGGUAGUCCACGCAGUAAACGAUGAUAACUGGGCGUAUGCGAUAUACAGUAUGCUCCUAAGCGAAAGCGUUAAGUUAUCCACCUGGGGAGUACGCCGGCAACGGUGAAACUCAAAGGAAUUGACGGGGGCCCGCACAAGCGGAGGAACAUGUGGUUUAAUUCGAUGAUACGUGAGGAACCUUACCCGGGAUUGAAUUGCAGAGGAAGGAUUUAGAGAUA
rnacentral:rRNA from 1 species